CUCCAUUCUGAAAAACGGAUUCUCCACAAAAACCCUCUUCACUCACUCUCAAAACCCUCACUCAACAACCUUCAAUCCUCACAAUCCCUUCAUCUUCCUCAUCUCUCGGCCAUUCUUCAGACCUUCAACCGCCGCCACGGAUUCACCACCGCGAACAACCUAAAACCACCACACGAACCACAACAAUCGCCUCUACCGCCGCUAAACCCUUCUUCCUCUCUCACUCAACAACCUUCACUCGCCAACAGCCACUACACCUCUCUCUCAAUAACUCCCUCACGCUACUUCUCCCUACCUCUUCCUCUUCACCUUCAAAACAAACCCUUCAAAAUCAACCACAGAACCACCGAUCUGCAAGUUCCUUCACGCCGGUACUCAGCUUCGACCACUCCCGAUGGAUCCCGCCGUAAAUCACCACGCUUUCUAUUCCAGCAAGAGUCCAAACACGAUGCUACAACAACAACAAACCCUCUCUUAGCUCUUCGACAUCGGUGCGGGCCCAGAUCCUCACGCAUGCAACAAACUCGGUUUUCGUUUACGGUAUUAUAACUCGGUUGGUUGCACUGAUGACGUUUGAUGAUUUGAUUAUGUUCUUAGUUAUUUGUUUUUAUUUGUUCAAAUCAAAAUCUGUUUGAUGCAUGUCUGGGGGUCCGUUUAGAUUUUGUUACGGUUUACUCUGUUUUUCAUACGGUCAACAUUUUCGCUUCCGAUUUGUUGCCGUUGUUUAUUAGAGUUGAUUAUAGUAUUCGCUCUGUUGUUUUGGUUUAUUACAUGACCUUGCUCGUUUCAAUUUCUUUACUGUGUUGCACUAUUUUUUUUAUUUUUAUAUUUUUGGGAUUUAAAACAUGUGUUUUAGGGUAAAAAUAUGGAUCUGAUGUCAUUAGAAUAGCAUUGUAAAUAAUCAUAAUUCAUUCUGUUUUCUGCAUUUGAUUUAAUACUGCUAUAUCCAUUUAUGUUUCGGUAGGAUUCUAUUGUCAUGCUGGCUAUAUGGUGUCUAAAUCCGUUUCGAUUCCGUAUACUUUUAUGUCGAAGUAUAUUUUGGGGUGAGUGUACAUUUGUGUCAAUACUACAAUAGCCCUGUAUAUAAUCACAAUUUGCGGUGAUACACUUUGAUACCAUUUUAUUGUACAUAUUCAACGUAUAUCAUGAUUCUUGAUUAUGACUUGUUUUGGCUAUAUCACAAGGACUUGUUUUGUAUUGCCUGUGAAGUUUAUAGUUAUUGUAGUAUCUCGUUCAUUUUCAUUUGAAUUGAGAUUUGGUUAUGAAUACCAAUGUGCUUAUACACAACUUAUGCGAGUUUCAGUUUGGAUUGUAUUUGGGAAGAUAUUUUAAGUGGGAACUGUAUUAAAAUUCUGCUCUUGAAUUAUUAGAUUAGUUUGUNN
rnacentral:lncRNA from 1 species